UAGGGAAUAUUGGUUAAUCUGCGAAAGCGGGAACCAGCAACGCCGCGUGCACGAUGAAGGCCUUCGGGUUGUAAAGUACUUUUUGAAAGGAUGAGGAAGCACAGUACUUUCAGAAUAAGCUUCGGCUAACUACGUGCCAGCAGCCGCGGUAAAACGUAGGAAGCGAGCGUUAUCCGGAUUUACUUGGCGUAAAGCGUGUGUAGGCGGUUUGACAAGUUGGAUGUGAAAGCUCCUGGCGUAACUGGGAGAGGUCGUUGAAAACUGUCAGACUUGAGAGUGGUAGAGGGAGGUGGAAUGCCGGGUGUAGUGGUGAAAUGCGUAGAUAUCCGGAGGAACACCAGUGGCGAAAGCGGCCUCCUGGCCCAUUUCUGACGCUCAGACACGAAAGCUAAGGUAGCAAACG
rnacentral:rRNA from 1 species